GACGAACGCUGGCGGCGUGCCUAAUACAUGCAGGUAGAACGCUGAAGAGAGGAGCUUGCUCUUCUUGGAUGAGUUGCGAACGGGUGAGUAACGCGUAGGUAACCUGCCUUGUAGCGGGGGAUAACUAUUGGAAACGAUAGCUAAUACCGCAUAACAAUGGAUGACACAUGUCAUUUAUUUGAAAGGGGCAAUUGCUCCACUACAAGAUGGACCUGCGUUGUAUUAGCUAGUAGGUGAGGUAAUGGCUCACCUAGGCGACGAUACAUAGCCGACCUGAGAGGGUGAUCGGCCACACUGGGACUGAGACACGGCCCAGACUCCUACGGGAGGCAGCAGUAGGGAAUCUUCGGCAAUGGGGGCAACCCUGACCGAGCAACGCCGCGUGAGUGAAGAAGGGUUUCGGAUCGUAAAGCUCUGUUGUAAGUCAAGAACGGGUGUGAGAGUGGAAAGUUCACACUGUGACGGUAGCUUACCAGAAAGGGACGGCUAACUACGUG
rnacentral:rRNA from 1 species